UACGAAGGGGGCUAGCGUUGCUCGGAAUCACUGGGCGUAAAGGGCGCGUAGGCGGUCAGCACAAGUCAGUUGUGAAAUCUCCGGGCUUAACUCGGAAAGGUCAACUGAUACUGUGCGACUAGAGUGGCAGAAGGGGCAACUGGAGUUCUCGGUGUAGCGGUGAAAUGCGUAGAUAUUCGGAGGAACACCAGUGGCGAAGGCGGCUCACUGGUCCAUUACUGACGCUGAGGUGCGAAAGCGUGGGGAGCAAACAGG
rnacentral:rRNA from 1 species